UACGAAGGGGGGCUAGCGUUGCUCGGAAUCACUGGGCGUAAAGCGCACGUAGGCGGCUUCUUAAGUCAGGGGUGAAAUCCUGGAGCUCAACUCCAGAACUGCCUUUGAUACUGAGAAGCUUGAGUCCGGGAGAGGUGAGUGGAACUGCGAGUGUAGAGGUGAAAUUCGUAGAUAUUCGCAAGAACACCAGUGGCGAAGGCGGCUCACUGGCCCGAUACUGACGCUGAGGAGCGAAAGCGUGGGGAGCGAACAGG
rnacentral:rRNA from 1 species